UGUCUGUAUGACGUCACGACACGGAAGUUCAAUCGCAUGGCACUUGAAUGUUCUCUACUUGUGUGUUGGUGAACAAAUGUCUGCUACGGAGGAUUUGGUUCAGCAGUGGGAAAGCGAGCAGGACCGUCUCAGAGAGCAAGUGGUGGAGGAGGACACACAGGCCUGGCAGAAGAACCCUCACUUCUCAGGCCUGGAGCGGGUCGGAGGACUGGACCUCUCCUUCAUCAAAGGUGAUGACGUCAACGCCUGUGCCCAGCUGGUGGUGCUCAGCUACCCGGACCUUGAGGUGCUGUAUGAAGACACUCAGAUGGUGACCCUGACAGCACCCUAUAUAGCAGGCUUCCUAGCCUUCAGAGAAACACCCUUCUUCUUGGACGCUCUGCAGCGGCUUGGAAUGAACAAGCCCACCCUUGUGCCUCAGGUGGUGUUUGUGGAUGGCAAUGGUCUCUUUCACUACAGAGAAUUUGGGCUGGCAUGUCAUGUUGGAGUGCUGUCAGGGCUGCCAUGUGUGGGCGUUGCCAAGAACCUGCUCCAGGUCCAGGGUGUGUACAAAAGUGAAGAACACCAGUCUCAGAUAGCAGCACUGCAGAAAGGAGGAGACAGCUUUCCACUCAUAGCCACCUCAGGCAAAGUGCUUGGAAAGGCACUGCGUAGUUCGGACAAGAGCUCCAAGCCAGUGUAUGUGUCAGUUGGCCAUAAAAUCAGUCUGGAUACAGCUGUGCGCCUCACACACUCCUGCUGUCGCUUCCGAGUCCCAGAGCCAAUCAGACAGGCCGACUAUCGCUCCAGAGAAUACCUCCGCGCUCAUUUCACUGCUACACAGACGGGAAGCACGGAAUGAGACACUUGUAGACGGUCCCUCCAGUCUGAUCUUGCUGCUGGCUGCUCAUCGAGAUCAAUGUUGGGAAAAGGAACUGAAUGAUGCUGCAAAAGAACUCAGCAACUUUGAAGAUCAGCAACUUGUAGUGUGUGUGUGCACGUGCGUGCGUGCGUGUGUGUGCGUGUGUGUGUGUGUUUGUUGGUGAGAAAGUGCACUUGAGUUUCCCUGAGCUUUGAAAAGUGCAGGUAAUAUCAUCUGAGCAAAUAUGGUCAGAUAACUUUUUAUACACUCACCCUACAUUUACAGGGGAUGUGGGUCAGACUGACUCUUUUUAUAUACUGUUCUCAUUACAUUUUUGGGUCAGUCCGACUUUUACACCGGGCGCCUUUUAAAUAAAGAAUAAAUGUCCCUGAUAUGCUGGUCGUGUAGAAAUACCUGUGGAUGUGUUGUCAGCAGGGGCACGGAACUCUCCCCAUGAAAAAUAUCACAUCGGUCCACCCACAGGCAGCUGUUGUCACUACAUCUCUAUAUUUUUUAACAGGGGCCUUUUGGAUUGUCCUAACUUUUUCCCCUAUAUGGCGCUCCUGGUUGUAGGACACUUGAGUGGCUUUAAACAUACUUGAAAACAUACAAAAUCUUGCACGUAUAUGCAGCCUGGCGAAAAAUGUACACCACAAACAUAACAUAAACAAACUACAGCGUUCCCUUGUUUAUUGCAGGGGAUAGGUUCCCAAAAUAGACCGUAAUAAGUGAAAUCCGCGAAGUAGCAAACUUUAUUUUUUUUCUACAGUUAUUAUAUAUAUUUUAACGCCCUCACCAUACACUUUGUACACUUUUCUCAGACAGACAGUAACUUGUUCUGACAUUUCUCUCUUGUUUAAGCAUGCUCCAAAAAGUUCAAACCUUUGUUGGAAUUUUAUCAACACAAGAAAUUAUUUAGUCACUCACACAUAUUUAAUAUUUCAGCGUCUUUGUAUCCUUGUUAAAACAUUUCGCUGCAGACGAACCGAAGAUUCAUUUACAAGCCAGCAAGCAAGCUAGCGAUGACACAGGAGACAUGGCAGGACGGCACCAAGGAGAUUGAUUGACAACGGUCUGCAGCCAAUCAGGACACAGAAAACAGUGGGCGGUGCAGACAGUCGAGAGAGGGAAGAGAUCGACACUCAACUUCCCACAAUGCAAUUCUUCUUAAAGGGCCAGGCUGUAACAGCGUUCAUACGCUGUAAGAAAAAAAAUAAAGCACAAAAAAAAUUCUGCGAAUGGUGAACCGUGAUAGAGCGAGGGAACACUGUACUGUGGAACCUUGGUUAGCGUGCGCCCCGUUUAGUGUGUUUUUUGGUAAAUUUCAUAUAAAUGUUGCCUCAAUUUGCAUAGAUUUUUCGGUUAGCAUAUAAUACGGCAUGUCUUGUCACGUUAUUAAUACAAUGUGUCAGUGCAACUGUGUUCUCAAUGUAUUUUCAUCACAAAACAUCCUUGCUAGCAGCCUGCUAAUACAUGGAAACAAUAACCGGAAGUCAGCUCUGUUGCCCGUCUAUGAUGAUGUCAUUUGUGGUUGAGUGUAGUUCUUUGCAACUAACACAGUUACGCUGCAAGUCUCAAAAAUACACACAACGCGUUUUUAUAGUUUUAUAAAACAUGAAAAGGGAUAAAUGAACAUUUAAGGUUACUUUUACCUUCAUGGAAGACCUGA